UACGGAGGGGGCAAGCGUUGUUCGGAAUUACUGGGCGUAAAGGGCGCGCAGGCGGCUGCUCAAGUCAGGCGUGAAAGGCCUGGGCUCAACCCGGGAAUUGCGCUUGAGACUGGGCUGGCUUGAGUGCGGGAGAGGAUGGUGGAAUUCCAGGUGUAGCGGUGAAAUGCGUAGAUAUCUGGAGGAACACCGGUGGCGAAGGCGGCGUUCUGGACUGCAACUGACACUGAGUGAACGAAAGCCAGGGGAGCAAACGGG
rnacentral:rRNA from 1 species